rnacentral:rRNA from 1 species
UGGCGGCGUGCUUAACACAUGCAAGUCGAACGGUGAACCAGAGCUUGCUCUGGGGAUCAGUGGCGAACGGGUGAGUAACACGUGGGCAACCUGCCCCAGACUCUGGGAUAACCUCGGGAAACCGAUGCUAAUACCGGAUACGACCACUUCGGACAUCCGACGGUGGUGGAAAGUUUUUCGGUCUGGGAUGGGCCCGCGGCCUAUCAGCUAGUUGGUGGGGUAAUGGCCUACCAAGGCGACGACGGGUAGCCGGCCUGAGAGGGCGACCGGCCACACUGGAACUGAGACACGGUCCAGACUCCUACGGGAGGCAGCAGUGGGGAAUAUUGCACAAUGGGCGAAAGCCUGAUGCAGCGACGCCGCGUGAGGGACGACGGCCUUCGGGUUGUAAACCUCUUUCAGCAGGGACGAAGCGAAAGUGACUGUACCUGCAGAAGAAGCACCGGCUAACUACGUG